rnacentral:rRNA from 1 species
GACGAACGCUGGCGGCGUGCUUAACACAUGCAAGUCGAACGGAAAGGCCCUGCUUUUGUGGGUUUCUCGAUUGGCGAACGGGUGAGUAACACGUGAGUAACCUGCCCUUGACUUUGGGAUAACUUCAGGAAACUGGGGCUAAUACCGGAGAUAAGCUCCUGCUGCAUGUGGGGGGUUGGAAAGUUUCGGCGGUUGGGGAUGGACUCGCGGCUUAUCAGCUUGUUGGUGGGGUAGUUGCUUACCAAGGCUUUGACGGGUAGCCCGCCUGAGAGGGUGACCGGCCACCUUGGGACUGCGAUACGGACCAGAAUCCUACGGGAGGCAGUAGUCGGGAAUCUUGCACAACGGGCGGACGUCUGAUGCAGCAACGCCGCGUGCGGGAUGCUGGGCUUCGGGUUGUAAACCGCUUUCGCCUGUGCUGAAGCGUGAGUGACGGUAAUGGGUCAAGAAGCACCGGCUAACUACGUG